rnacentral:rRNA from 1 species
GAUGAACGCUGGCGGCGUGCUUAACACAUGCAAGUCGAACGAAACACCUUAUUUGAUUUUCUUCGGAACUGAAGAUUUGGUGAUUGAGUGGCGGACGGGUGAGUAACGCGUGGGUAACCUACCUUGUACAGGGGGAUAACAGUCAGAAAUGACUGCUAAUACCGCAUAAGACCACAGCACCGCAUGGUGCAGGGGUAAAAACUCCGGUGGUACAGGAUGGACCCGCGUCUGAUUAGCUGGUUGGUGAGGUAACGGCUCACCAAGGCGACGAUCAGUAGCCGGCUUGAGAGAGUGAACGGCCACAUUGGGACUGAGACACGGCCCAAACUCCUACGGGAGGCAGCAGUGGGGAAUAUUGCACAAUGGGGGGAACCCUGAUGCAGCGACGCCGCGUGAGUGAAGAAGUAUCUCGGUAUGUAAAGCUCUAUCAGCAGGGAAGAAAAUGACGGUACCUGACUAAGAAGCCCCGGCUAACUACGUGCCAGCAGCCGCGGUAAUACGUAGGGGGCAAGCGUUAUCCGGAAUUACUGGGUGUAAAGGGUGCGUAGGUGGUAUGGCAAGUCAGAAGUGAAAACCCAGGGCUUAACUCUGGGACUGCUUUUGAAACUGUCAGACUGGAGUGCAGGAGAGGUAAGCGGAAUUCCUAGUGUAGCGGUGAAAUGCGUAGAUAUUAGGAGGAACAUCAGUGGCGAAGGCGGCUUACUGGACUGAAACUGACACUGAG